rnacentral:rRNA from 1 species
AUACCCGUUUGCAUGUACUUUAUGAAUAAGGAUCGGCUAACUCCGUGCCAGCAGCCGCGGUAAUACGGAGGAUCCGAGCGUUAUCCGGAUUUAUUGGGUUUAAAGGGAGCGUAGAUGGAUGUUUAAGUCAGUUGUGAAAGUUUGCGGCUCAACCGUAAAAUUGCAGUUGAUACUGGAUAUCUUGAGUGCAGUUGAGGCAGGCGGAAUUCGUGGUGUAGCGGUGAAAUGCUUAGAUAUCACGAAGAACUCCGAUUGCGAAGGCAGCCUGCUAAGCUGCAACUGACAUUGAGGCUCGAAAGUGUGGGUAUCAAACAGGAUUAGAUACCCUGGUAGUCCACACGGUAAACGAUGAAUACUCGCUGUUUGCGAUAUACAGCAAGCGGCCAAGCGAAAGCGUUAAGUAUUCCACCUGGGGAGUACGCCGGCAACGGUGAAACUCAAAGGAAUUGACGGGGGCCCGCACAAGCGGAGGAACAUGUGGUUUAAUUCGAUGAUACGCGAGGAACCUUACCCGGGCUUAAAUUGCAGAUGAAUUACGGUGAAAGCCGUAAGCCGCAAGGCAUCUGUGAAGGUGCUGCAUGGUUGUCGUCAGCUCGUGCCGUGAGGUGUCGGCUUAAGUGCCAUAACGAGCGCAACCCUUGUUGUCAGUUACUAACAGGUUCCGCUGAGGACUCUGACAAGACUGCCAUCGUAAGAUGUGAGGAAGGUGGGGAUGACGUCAAAUCAGCACGGCCCUUACGUCCGGGGCUACACACGUGUUACAAUGGGGGGUACAGAGGGCCGCUACCACGCGAGUGGAUGCCAAUCCCAAAAACCUCUCUCAGUUCGGACUGGAGUCUGCAACCCGACUCCACGAAGCUGGAUUCGCUAGUAAUCGCGCAUCAGCCACGGCGCGGUGAAUACGUUCCCGGGCCUUGUACACACCGCCCGUCAAGCCAUGGGAGCCGGGGGUACCUGAAGUGCGUAACCGCGAGGAGCGCCCUAGGGUAAAACUGGUGACUGGGGCUAAGUCGUAACAAGGUAGCCGUACCGGAAGGUGCGGCUG